rnacentral:rRNA from 1 species
CUACGGGUUGCUGCAGUCGAGAAUCUUCCGCAAUGGACGAAAGUCUGACGGAGCGACGCCGCGUGCGGGAUGAAGGCCUUCGGGUUGUAAACCGCUGUCAGUGGGGAGGAAAUGCAUCAGGGUUCUCCCUGGUGUUUGACUGAUCCGCAGAGGAAGCGCAGGCUAAGUUCGUGCCAGCAGCCGCGGUAACACGAACUGCGCGAACGUUAUUCGGAAUCACUGGGCUUAAAGAGUUCGUAGGCGGCCUUUCAAGUCGGGUGUGAAAUCCCUCGGCUCAACCGAGGAAUUGCGCCUGAUACUGUUGGGCUUGAGGGGGAUAGGGGUGAGCGGAACUGAUGGUGGAGCGGUGAAAUGCGUUGAUAUCAUCAGGAACACCGGUGGCGAAGGCGGCUCACUGGAUCUCUUCUGACGCUGAGGAACGAAAGCUAGGGGAGCGAACGGGAUUAGAUACCCUUGUAGUC